rnacentral:rRNA from 1 species
UAUGACGACCGGCGCACGGGUGAGUAACACGUAUCCAACCUGCCGAUGACUCGGGGAUAGCCUUUCGAAAGAAAGAUUAAUACCCGAUGGCAUAGUUCUUCCGCAUGGUAGAACUAUUAAAGAAUUUCGGUCAUCGAUGGGGAUGCGUUCCAUUAGGUUGUUGGCGGGGUAACGGCCCACCAAGCCUUCGAUGGAUAGGGGUUCUGAGAGGAAGGUCCCCCACAUUGGAACUGAGACACGGUCCAA